CCUGCACCUGCCGGCGACCGGCGCACGGGUGAGUAACACGUAUGGAACCUGCCCGCCACAGGGGGAUAACCCGGGGAAACCCGGCCUAAUACCCCAUGCCGCCCGGACCGGGCAUCCGGUCCGGGCGAAAGGAGGAAUCCGGUGGCGGCUGGGCAUGCGGCGCAUUAGCUUGACGGCGGGGUAACGGCCCACCGUGGCGACGAUGCGUAGGGGUUCUGAGAGGAAGGCCCCCCCACACUGGAACUGAGACACGGUCCAGACUCCUACGGGAGGCAGCAG
rnacentral:rRNA from 1 species